AACGAACGCUGGCGGCAGGCUUAACACAUGCAAGUCGAACGCAUCCUUCGGGGUGAGUGGCAGACGGGUGAGUAACGCGUGGGAACGUGCCCUUCAGUUCGGGAUAACCCAGGGAAACUUGGGCUAAUACCGGAUACGUGCGAGAGCAGAAAGAUUUAUCGCUGAAGGAUCGGCCCGCGUCUGAUUAGCUAUUUGGUGGGGUAAUGGCCCACCAAGGCGACGAUCAGUAGCUGGUCUGAGAGGAUGAUCAGCCACAUUGGGACUGAGACACGGCCCAAACUCCUACGGGAGGCAGCAGUGGGGAAUAUUGGACAAUGGGCGCAAGCCUGAUCCAGCCAUGCCGCGUGAGUGAUGAAGGCCUUAGGGUUGUAAAGCUCUGUCGUCCGGGACGAUAAUGACGGUACCGGAAGAAGAAACCCCGGCUAACUUCGUGCCAGCCGCCGCCGUAA
rnacentral:rRNA from 1 species